UCUCCAUUGACACCCAUUCAUAUUUUUCGAUCUCAUAGGUCCCAUGAGCUUUACCGGAAGGGGCAUGACUUCGCCACUCUAUUUUGCAUGGACACCGCUGCUGCUUCCCGGGCUUAGCCCCGCCCUAGACGAUUGUGAUUGGUUUAAAGAAAUAAAAACAGGCCCGCCCAGUUUCCCCACGGAUAGACGUCUCGAGUUAGCGUCCCACACAGCAGUAGACUCCUAUGCGGAUCCGCAUAGGAGUCACCAAACCCGCGUUACUGUCACAUCCGUUUUGGCGCCGCCUAGAGGACCCGUGUCGGAUCCGCGAACGCGGACGCGCCAUAACGUUUGAAAGCCUAUCACCAAGAGCCGAGACGAUCAUAUCAUUUGAGAUUUUCUUUGCUGGAACACGGUUGCGUAAGUAUGAUUUAUUAUUGAUUUAUUAUUAUUAUUUGAUUUAUUUGUUGAUAUAUUGUGGAUCCUGAGCGGACCCGUGUCGGACCCGUGUCUGAUCCGCGAACGCGGACGCGCCAACACGUUGAAAGCCUAUAAAGAGCAGAUCGAUCAGUUGAGACUUUCCUUCUUUGCUGGAACACGGUUGCGUUACGUAAGCAUGAUUUAUUAUUGAUUUUGAUUUAUUUAUGUAGGCCUAAUUAUUUAUUGAUAGGCCUAUAUUGCGACAUUCACAGUAAACAUUGGCCUUUGUGUUUUUGUAAUCAUAAUUUAGACUACGUAUGAUUGUAAUGACGUUGUUUGAUAUUAGGACUAGCAGUAGGCCUAAAUCAUUUUUCAGUUAGGCUAUAAUUUUUUGCACCAGGCUAUUGUUAGCUGAGAGGCGAUAAUCAUGUCAGUCUGUACCCUAUUUGAUUUAAAAUGGAAUAGCAAUUUCGGCAGAAUAUGUUAUGGUAGUUAAGUUAAGUUAUCCUUCAUUGGGUUAGGGUUAGGGUUGGUCUGUUCUGUUUUAAUGUGUCGCUGUUAUGUAUAAAACGCCGGUCAUCGGGAAAAUAAGCCCCGACAGGGCGAACCGGCUUGCUUCACCCUGAAGGUGGUGCUUGUGGCUUAUUUUCGAUAAUGACCGGUGACGUUCUAUACAUUAUCCCGCUUAUUACAUGGCUACUUGCCAAAACGAAAAAAAUAACUUCACACGGUGUGUCUUUUUACAAUUUAUCUGUUACCAGCAUUCGUAGUGUUGAUUAGCAGAGAAAUAGUCUGGCAAAGACCAACGUCUUUGGCGUCGCCUAGCAACCGAGUACGCUUGGGUCACCGAGUACGCUGGGAUAAAAAAAAAAACCCUGUCCUUGACAGCGGUCAAUUAUAGGCCUACUUAAGAUCGUAAGCGUUUCUGAAUAAAAUAGCUUUUGAGUAGCUUAGCUCUUUUAUUGACCAAGUAGGCCUAAUGCGGUAUCUCCAUAAAAGUUACAUUUUUUCAAGCAUUUCUGAACAAAUAAAACUGCUUGUCCCCCAGUGUUGAUAGAUUGGGCCGGAAUCUUGCAACACUGGCGACCCCCAUGAAGGCAGAGGGAGAGUUAUUAUCAUUUUGAAAUAAUGUUUAUUAUGUGUAAUUAAAAAAUAUAUAUUACUUAAUUCUAAUUCUAAUCUUAUAGAAAAUAAUACAGUUUUAACAUUUAACAAAAUUAAACAAUUUCAACUCUUUUUCCUUUCGAAAAAGAUUUGAAGAAUAAUCACAAAAGUGCUCUUCAAGAUGCAGAAGUGAGAAGUGUUAGACUGUUUAUCAACAAGGCGUUAAUGCUUUGAGAAAUGCAUUUGUGAAAUCAAAAUAUGGCCUUGAUGCCCUGGCAUGUGGCCUUUGUGCCCUCAAAAAAAUUGCCCCGCUGCAGGCCAAGUGGCCUUGCCCCUCAUAUCACGAAAAUUCCAGGCAUGCGUACCAUACAAAUAGAUCGCAGCAAGUUAACAUUUUGGCAAGUUUGGUCUCAUAUGUAGUGGUUAUCUGCCAUCCUCUUUAUAAUGAAAAUUUGCCAAUUUAAUCACUGUUUAAGUCGGUUCAGACAACAAACGGGUAUUUGCGCCUGUUUCUGAUUUCCUAUGCUACUGUAUGGAACUUGGUCCCCAUCUUCUAUUUUGUGUGUUCUGCAGCAUCUGGAUUUGACUGUUGCACAUUGAUUGUUCGCUUAAUCAACAUCUGGAUUUGACUGUUGCCCGUUCUGGAUUUGACUGUUGCCACAAUUUCCUCUGCUGGGUUCGCUUGAUCAACAUCUGGAUUUGACUGUUGCCCAUUGACUGUU